rnacentral:misc_RNA from 1 species
AACGCACAUUGCGCCCUUUGGUAUUCCGAGGGGCAUGCCUGUUCGAGCGUCAUUACACCCCUCAAGCACAGCUUGUUGUUGGGCACCUGCCCCCUAAACCGGGACAUGCCUCAAAGUCAAUGACGGCGUCGCGACCGAACUUCAAGCGUACCAAGUUUUACAACCACGCUUUGGAAGAUGCGGCCGGGGCUGGUCUACAACCAUAAAUUUUUCAGGUUGACCUCGGAUCAGGUAGGGAUACCCGCUGAACUUAA